UGAAAUGUUUAUACUGAUUAUGUGUUAACUCUGUAUGCGCUCUGCUGACCAUAUACUUUAAGCUCUUUGUUCCUGCUUCUAUAAAAAAGCUUGACUGCAGAAAUAAACUUGUCAGUCCUUGCAAGAGACUGUCCAAGUGUCCUUCUUUCAGGUUCUUCGCUUCCAAGUCCCAGGGAGAAAAUCCCCAACAAGUGGCGCCACGAACAGGAACUUGAGAGGAAGGCUGAACAAAGUGACGAGCCCCUGCAGAAAGAGAUGGAGAGGAAAUCUGGGUUCCCCUUCGCCAUGUCCGCUGCCGAGAAGGACCCCAAGACCAGACUCCCUUGGGAAGUGACGAAGUUGACGUGAAGGGUCUCAUCAGUGACCCUGGAGGAGCCAAUGAGGAAAUGCCAUCGUCUGAAUCCUUACCCAACAUGGGCUCAAGUGAAAAAACAUGACUCGUCAGGCUGAGCAGACACUGAAGAGCAAGAGGAACAUCAUAACUGCUCCUGGUUUAAUAGAUCAAGCAUUGGAGGCUUUCAUAAAUCUAAGACAAAUUUCUGGACUGAUAAGGACAUAUUGCUGAAUUGGUAUAACGGGGGCUUAACACCCCCACAACCCAGGAUUGUCGUCCCCAUUGUGGGGCCAGAGCACUGGCACAUUUGGAAAAUUCCAGCAGCCUUAGAGCACUUUGCUAGUGUUUAUGAGACUAUGGGUGUGUUUCGUCCUUCUAAUUUUACCUUCCUAUACAAUAGUACUGGCUAUAUUCAAUUGUGUGUUCACCUUCCAUACUUGUUUAUUGUAGGGCAUUUUGAUAUUGACUUAUCAGCCAAGAUUGUCAAUUGUACUGCAUGUGCAUUGUAUACCUGCCUUAAUCACACCAUUUCAUAUCACAAUGCUAGAAUUGCCCUAGUUAAACAAAGAUCUGAGUUAUGGCUUCCCGUAAACUUAAUUGAGCCUUGGACUGAUUCUAUAUUUCUUUCUGUAUUGUUGAAAACUAGGCUUAGGUUAUCUAAGCGCAUCAUUGGGUGGAUUAUUGCAGGCAUCUUAAGCCUUAUCUCCACUGUGACUGUAGGAACUUUGUCCGGUAUGGCUUUACAUAAUUCUAUACAAAAUCAUGAUUUUAUCACUGCUUGGCACAAAGACUCUCAUGAUCUUUGGACUUGACAAGCUCAAAUAGAUCAGCAAUUACAAACAAGAAUUAAUGAGUUACAAACUGUGGUUAUCCACUUAGGAGAUCAAGUGCAGCAACUGGCUUUCCAAACACAUAUACAUUGUCACUGGAAUUUUACUUCUUUUUGUCUGACUAACAUGCCCUAUAAUAGCACUGAAUAUCCUUGGAAUAAGGUUAAGGCGCAUUUGCAGGAUCUCACAAAUAACUGAAGUUUAGACAUCAAUUUGUUGAAACAACAAGUUGCUAAUUUUCAAGUUAGGGUACCUAGAGAAUUGUAUAGCACUCAAUUCUAUGAUACUUUAACCAAAACCCUAUCGUCUCUAGACCCUAGAGCUUGGCUUUCAGGAAGCAAUAUUUUUAUAUAUGUAUUAAUCACCCUGCUCUUUUUGUCCUUGAUUAUGGGAUACAGAAGUCUCUACUCAAGACUCCAUGCUUCCCACAAUGGAGUCCAACUAGCAGCCGCCGUGCUUAAUUUAAAAACAAAAGGAGGAUAUGUUGGGAAGCGUAGUGCAAAAUAGCCGUAAAUGGAGAAAGUCCUUAGGAAAAUGGCGAAGGGCCAGAAAUACCCGGCUUUGCACUGCGGACAGAAAAACAUCUCCUGCCUUGGGUUAUGCUCGGCGCCAAGAGUUAAUAGGGAUGUUACUUGUGAAAGCGGGUUGUGGGAUAAGCCCAUGAGUCAUUUAGAGCGCGCUGUCCUUAAAAUGUUUUUACUGAUUAUGUGUUAACUCCGUAUGCACUCUGCUGACCAUAUACUUUAAGCUCUUUGUUCCUGCUUCUAUAAAAAAAUCUUGACUGCAGAAAUAAACUUGUCAGUCCUUGCAA